GACGAACGCCGGCGGCGUGCUUAACACAUGCAAGUCGAGCGGUAAGGCUCCUUCGGGAGUACACGAGCGGCGAACGGGUGAGUGACACGUGAGCAAUCUGCCCUUCACUCUGGGAUAACCCUCGGAAACGAGAGCUAAUACCGGAUACGAUCACUUCAGGCAUCUGAUGGUGAUGGAAAGUUCCGGCGGUGAAGGAUGAGCUCGCGGCCUAUCAGCUUGUUGGUGAGGUAAUGGCUCACCAAGGCUUCGACGGGUAGCCGGCCUGAGAGGGUGACCGGCAACACUGGGACUGGGACACGGCCCAGACUCCUACGGGAGGCAGCAGUGGGGAAUAUUGGACAAUGGGCGAAAGCCUGAUCCAGCAACGCCGCGUGAGGGAUGACGGCCUUCGGGUUGUAAACCUCUUUCAGCACAGACGAAGCGCAAGUGACGGUAUGUGCAGAAGAAGGACCGGCCAACUACGUGCCAGCCGCCGCAGUAAAAC
rnacentral:rRNA from 1 species